GCUGAACAGAUUAUGCCUCAUUAAAGACCAUCGUCUAUUUCAAUUACUCACUGUCACUAAUGCCAGUAACUCAGCAUGUCGAAGUGCUUGACAAAGAACUGGGAACUGCAGCAGCUGAAUUGUCUGUCCCUCGGGAAUUGUCUCCCCAGAAAGAUGUUUGCUGCUGCUGUCCUGGGCUCUGCUGCCAUCUAGCCAACUUCAACCUCAAUUCUCAGCUCAUCUUUCUUCCCCCGGAACCGUACAGUUUCCCUGGAGGCCGAGGUAGCACCUCAAUUUUAGGCACAGAAUUGAGAUACCUGGAGAGACAGAUUUGAGCUGAAGAAUGCUUCUAACAUAAAUGUUCC
rnacentral:lncRNA from 1 species